UGAGCAACCUGCCUUAAAGAGGGGGAUAACGUUUGGAAACGAACGCUAAUACCGCAUAUGAUCUUAGUGCUGCAUGGUACAGAGAUGAAAGGAGCAAUCCGCUUUAAGAUGGGCUCGCGUCCGAUUAGAUAGUUGGUGGGGUAACGCUCACCAAGUCGACGAUCGGUAGCCGGACUGAGAGGUUGAACGGCCACAUUGGGACUGAGACACGGCCCAGACUCCUACGGGAGCAG
rnacentral:rRNA from 1 species